rnacentral:rRNA from 1 species
UACUAACUCUGGCGGCGUGCUUAACACAUGCGAGUCGAACGGAAAGGCCCUGCUUUUGUGGGGUGCUCGAGUGGCGAACGGGUGAGUAACACGUGAGUAACCUGCCCUUGACUUUGGGAUAACUUCAGGAAACUGGGGCUAAUACCGGAUAGGAGCUCCUGCUGCAUGGUGGGGGUUGGAAAGUUUCGGCGGUUGGGGAUGGACUCGCGGCUUAUCAGCUUGUUGGUGGGGUAGUGGCUUACCAAGGCUUUGACGGGUAGCCGGCCUGAGAGGGUGACCGGCCACAUUGGGACUGAGAUACGGCCCAGACUCCUACGGGAGGCAGCAGUGGGGAAUAUUGCACAAUGGGCGGAAGCCUGAUGCAGCAACGCCGCGUGCGGGAUGACGGCCUUCGGGUUGUAAACCGCUUUCGCCUGUGACGAAGCGUGAGUGACGGUAAUGGGUAAAGAAGCACCGGCUAACUACGUG